UACAGUAUACUAACCUACUUAGAUCAGUGCGUGUGUGUGCACGCCUGCCCUGAAGACACACUUGUGUGUGCACGCUUGCGUCAGGAGUUAUUAGUCAAGUCCUCAGAGUUUCCAUUUUAGAAGGUUAUUUUAUUUUCCUCUGCGCUGGUGACAUUCAGCUGGACAGUGGGUGUUUUCUUUGGUCGGCCUACUAAUGCUGUGGAGAGAGGAAAAUGCAUGAAGGUGAAAAUCAUUUUUGUGUAGUGUGGAAAAGGACACAUGGCAAAAUGCUUCUCCUGUUUCUGUGUCUUGGUUUGGCCACUUCUAAUGUCCAGUCAGCAAAAAACGGGGUUAAUGUAACGUGUGAAAAUCAAUCGGUUGUAGCAGGACAGAACCAUAACCUGACGUGUAAUGUGGAUUUCAAUGCCGUAGGUAACAAAAGCUCGGGAUGUACAGCUGAUAAGUAUGCAUGGAAGAAAAAUUCAACUAUAAUACAACAUUGUACAAAACUCUGUAAUGUGACAGUAACGAACAACACCUACUCUUAUGAGAUAAAACAUGCUACCAAAGCUGAUGAGGGAAACUACAACUUUUCAAUUUUCACAAACUGUGGCGAUAGAUAUGGAUUAUUCAACGUUUCCGUUACAUAUGUGUACAAUCAUACACCACAAAGCUCUUUAUCAACUACUCCUGUGCAAUACCGGACAGUGUUUUUUUGGGGGGUUUUUUUGUCUUUUUUUUUAUAAUUUUUUUUAUUAAGGACAAAUCAUACGGACAACUCUUAAGGACAAAUCAUAGGCAUAAGCAUAAACAUUUUGCUACACCAGCGAUAACAUCUACAAAAUAUGUGUACGCGACCAAUAACAUUUGAUUUGAUCAUCAGAAGCCCACGAUGAAGAUGAGGCAAUUGAAAGUACAUUUGGAUCCCCUGGAGUUGUGCUGGCUGAAAAACACCCUUUUGUUGGAAAUGCUCAGUUAGUGGAGUUUCAGUUCCAUGGAAAAUAUGUUUUUUAAAAGUUGAA